UCCCAAGUGGUCUAUAGUGGCUAGGAUUCCGCGCUCUCACCGCGGAGGCCAUGGUUCGAUUGCUUGGGAA